GGGGGUAUAGCUCAGUGGUAGAGCAUGUGCUUAGCAUGCAUGAGGUACUGGGUUCAAUGUUCAGUACCUCCA
rnacentral:tRNA from 1 species